GACGAACGCUGGCGGCGUGCCUAAUACAUGCAAGUCGAGCGCAGGAAGCUCACGGAACUCUUCGGAGGGAAGUGAAGGGAAUGAGCGGCGGACGGGUGAGUAACACGUAAGGAACCUGCCCCAAGGAUUGGGAUAACUCCGAGAAAUCGGAGCUAUUACCGAAUAGUUCUUCAGACCGCAUGGUCUGAUGAUGAAAGGCGCUUCGGCGUCACCUUGGGAUGGCCUUGCGGUGCAUUAGCUAGUUGGUGGGGUAAUGGCCCACCAAGGCGACGAUGCAUAGCCGACCUGAGAGGGUGAUCGGCCACACUGGGACUGAGACACGGCCCAGACUCCGACGGGAGGCAGCAGUAGGGAAUCUUCCACAAUGGACGAAAGCCUGAUGGAGCAACGCCGCGUGAGUGAUGAAGGUUUUCGGAUCGUAAAACUCUGUUGUAAGGGAAGAACAGGUAUGAGAGGUAAUGCUCAUGCUAUGACGGUACCUUGCGAGAAAGCCACGGCUAACUACGUGCCAGCCGCCGCAGUAAUAC
rnacentral:rRNA from 1 species